GGAGGACGUGGGGAUACAGGGUUGGUACACGUCGCCGCCCUCCCCACGGACCUCC
ncrna:unclassified sequences RAGATH-31 RNA